rnacentral:lncRNA from 1 species
CCCUGAUUAUACCGCUCAAAUUAGCCUCACCAUGCUAUUUAUUUGAUCCCUUCAUGUAUGUUACUCUCAUAAUACAAGUUAUAAUGCUCGGAGAAAAUUGGAGUUACAGCCGCCUGCUGGUACACUAUCUUGCCACUUACCGUGAGGUUAUCCUCUAUAAUUUUACGAUUAUUAUCUUUCCCAUGCCUUCAGCAAUUAUGUUUGCAGACGAAUGAAUACUUGCAUUAGUUUGCAUCCCAUCUAUACACGUUUAUUGGUUCCUCUUAUGGAUUAUUGUUAAAUUUUGCUAUCUAAUUUCCUACAACAGAACAAUGAAACAUGGAUGGUUACGGUAGAUGGAGGGCCAGAGUUUCACUAUUCAUUUUGUCAUGCAUGCUCAAAACAAAACCAAAAGAUAUCAUCGGAUUGUAGCACUGCAGGUUGUUUCCCUAGCCCUAUGGGAUGUCGUAAACACUAAAAGUUUAAAACUUUUCUUCCAGUUGUUGAAGAACAUGUUGCCUCACUGUCGUGCCUCGCUUUUGUAGGAGAUCUUGCAGCUUCCGCUCAUCGGCGAUCUUAAUGGAGUGGCUACACAAAAUAUCCAGAUAAACAUGAAGAGUCUAUUCUCCAAUUUCAGUUUUUUUGAAGAACCAAGAAUGGCAAGUACAACUCAACUUCGAAUUUUUUCUUUGUUACGAAUGCAAAACAUAAAAUCAUCUGAGGAGGGAAUUUCUAGACAAGGUACAACCUAUAGGUAUAAGCCUUUCAAAAAAGUUAUCAUGCCAGUAUAAAUAAAUAAAUUAGUUUUGUUUCUGUACGGUACUGCUUCCUUAGCAAAUAAAGAAUUAUAUCGAUGUAUGCUAUUCUUGAUGCCUCUUUGGAUAUGCUUUAGCUGUACUAUCAUAUGCCCAUACUUUAUUUUUCCAGUUGUUAAGAUUUGGCCACACGAAUUUGAACUUCUUUGUAGGUGAACAAAUGCCUCAUCUGGAGCAACUAUAGGCUAACCAAGUGUACUAGAAUUACUUCAAUGCUCUUAAAAUACAACAUAGUUACUUGAGAGAGGAAUCGAUGCACGUUACUGAUAAUUCUCUUUAUGUUUGUGCAGAAAUAUGUUUGCUCAACAUUUCAAAUGUAAAUAUAAAUAUUCCAUUGGAUCUCCAAUACCAAUAUUUAGAAUGUAAUUGUAAUGUUCAGCAUUUCAAGCUGUAUUUAAUAUUCAUUCGUACAUAUAUGCUUUUCUUUGAAUCUGUUCAUGGAAACCACAAAGUCCCGCAGCAACGUGCGGGGGUAUCAUCUAGUUUUUAUGAAAUCCUAAGAAAAAAGAG